GAACUCGUCCGUAUACCUCUUCCACCUAAAUUCAACCUUUGCCAAUUGAGCAAAGAGCUGGGGCGGAUGGUUUUCUUUCAACUUUACGCAAAAAGAAGGUGCAUGUCCAAGAAAAACCAAAAAACCAGGCAUUUCAAUUCACCACAGGAGAGAAAGUAUUCAAACUGUUAUCCUCAUUUCGCGUGUGUCCGCCAGUAUGCACGUAAAUGAAAAUCA
rnacentral:lncRNA from 1 species